ACGCUCGACACCUACGGGAGGCAGCAGUGGGGAAUAUUGCACAAUGGGGGAAACCCUGAUGCAGCGACGCCGCGUGAGCGAAGAAGUAUUUCGGUAUGUAAAGCUCUAUCAGCAGGGAAGAAACUGACGGUACCUGACUAAGAAGCACCGGCUAAAUACGUGCUAGCAGCCGCGGUAAUCUGGAGCGGGCUGGCAAGGC
rnacentral:rRNA from 1 species